CAAUAGCGUAUAUUAAAGUUGUUGCAGUUAAAAAGCUCGUAGUUGAACUUCAGACCUGGCCGGGCGGUCUGCCUAACGGUAUGUACUGUCUGGCUGGGUCUUACCUCUUGGUGAGCCGGCAUGCCCUUUACUGGGUGUGUCGGGGAACCAGGACUUUUACCUUGAGAAAAUUAGAGUGUUCAAAGCAGGCCUAUGCCUGAAUACAUUAGCAUGGAAUAAUAAAAUAGGACGUGCGGUUCUAUUUUGUUGGUUUCUAGAGUCGCCGUAAUGAUUAAUAGGGAUAGUUGGGGGCAUUAGUAUUCAGUUGCUAGAGGUGAAAUUCUUGGAUUUACGGAAGACUAACUACUGCGAAAGCAUUUGCCAAGGAUGUUUUCAUUAA
rnacentral:rRNA from 1 species